AUUGAACGCUGGCGGCAGGCUUAACACAUGCAAGUCGAGCGGAGAGAGGUAGCUUGCUACUGAUCUUAGCGGCGGACGGGUGAGUAAUGCUUAGGAAUCUGCCUAUUAGUGGGGGACAACAUUUCGAAAGGAAUGCUAAUACCGCAUACGUCCUACGGGAGAAAGCAGAGGAUCUUCGGACCUUGCGCUAAUAGAUGAGCCUAAGUCGGAUUAGCGAGUUGGUGGGGUAAAGGCCUACCAAGGCGCCGAUCUGUAGCGGGUCUGAGAGGAUGAGCCGCCACACUGGGACUGAGACACGGCCCAGACUCCUACGGGAGGCAGCAGUGGGGAAUAUUGGACAAUGGGCGCAAGCCUGAUCCAGCCAUGCCGCGUGUGUGAAGAAGGCCUUAUGGUUGUAAAGCACUUUAAGCGAGGAGGAGGCUACUGAAGUUAAUACCUUCAGAUAGUGGACGUUACUCGCAGAAUAAGCACCGGCUAACUCUGUGCCAGCCGCCGCGGUAACAC
rnacentral:rRNA from 1 species